UCCCUUGAGAGCUCAUGUCAGGCAGAGCAGCCGACUAUUAAUCGGACUGGCGCAGGUUCGAGUCCUGCCAAGGGAA
rnacentral:tRNA from 1 species